rnacentral:rRNA from 1 species
ACGCGAACGACCUUUCGGGGUUAAGUAGAGUGGCGAACGGGUUAGUAACGCGUGGGAACAUACACAGCACAGGGGGAUAACCAUUGGAAACGAUGGCUAAUACCGCAUACGCCCUAUUGGGGAAAGAUUUAUCGGUGUUGGAUUGGCCCGCGUUAGAUUAGCUAGUUGGUGGGGUAAUGGCUCACCAAGGCGACGAUUUAUAGCUGGUUUGAGAGGAUGAUCAGCAACACUGGAACUGAGACACGGUCCAGACUCCUACGGGAGGCAGCAGUCGGGAAUAUUGUGCAAUGGGGGCAACCCUGACACAGCCAUGCCGCGUGAGUGAAGAAGGCCUUAGGGUUGUAAAGCUCUUUCAGAUGUGAGGAUGAUGACGAUAGCAUCAGAAGAAGCUCCGGCUAACUUCGUGCCAGCAGCCGCGGUAAUACGAAGGGAGCUAGCGUUGUUCGGAAUUACUGGGCGUAAAGGGCGUGUAGGCGGAUUAUCAAGUUAGGGGUGAAAUCCCGGGGCUCAACCUCGGCACUGCCUUUAA